UUGCUCACCUGUAGCCUCGCAAAUGCCUAGGAGGCUUCGAUUUCGCAUGAUUUGCUUAGUUCACCACGCCUCCUUUUGUAUAGUGUAAGGUGUGUGGUGUGCCGAAAGUGAAGCUAGCUCUUAGUAAUACUUGGGAUCUUGUGCUUGUCCGCAAGUAUUUGCAGCAGCGUUAAUAGCGUCCCCUAGGCCCAGUCUGCUUUCUGCUAGUGUUGUUUGCGCGCUCGGCAUGUCGCAGAAGGCGCGAGGCCGCUACAGGUGGUACUUGGAACAGAACUCAACUGAGCAAGUACCAAAGCAGACUCAGCAGCAUUGCCAAGCGAGCGAAAACACGGCGCGCAAGCAAGGUUAUUGCACCAAACAAGCAGGCAGCGGCCAUCCUGUGUGCCAAGAACUCCAGAUCAUCAGGCAGCCAGUGUUUCUGCAAAUGCAUCUCGGGAUGGUAACCUGAGCGUGUUGCCAGAUAUGGCUGCUUGUUGCUCGGAUGAGUGAACCACCAAUGCCUGAUGCCAGUAAUACAUGCGAAGGAGACGGGAGGGGUGAAGAUGAACGUGUUGUUCCUCCUCCCAGUGUUGCCACACAGGAUGUCAGCUGUGAAGAUGAUGAAGAGGCUGGCCAGGAACACUGAAGUACCUGUUCCAUGCGGCGCCAGCCCCAGAGAGAACGCAUGAAGGUGUUUUCAAGGUGAUGCUUCAAGCUGUGCAUAAGAGAACUACAGUCACCGGCGUUAAGGGGCCAUCUCCUUUGAUGAAGCUAAAAAGUCUAGACCUCGUGUGGGGCUUGCCCCCAGACUAUAUGCAUUGUGUAUUAGGUGUGACAAAACAGCAGUUGUGGCUUUCAUCUGUAGGAUCUGCCUACUACAUUGGCAGAGAGCUGAAAAUGCUGGAUGGGAGAUUGUGCAGCAUCAAGCCACCAGUAACAUUUGUACGAACACCGCGACCACUCUCAGAGCAUUCUUUUUGGAAGGCUGUUGAAUGGCGGCAUUGGCUUUUAUUUUACAGUAUUCCAUGCCUUUCAGAUGGGCUUGCACAAAGUUUCCUGGCUCAUUUUUCUCUGCUUUCCAAAGCAGUUUUUUAUUGCUUAAAGAUGUUGUUACGGCAAGUGACAUUAAUGAGGUAGAAGAGCUGUUGCUCAAAUUUGCUGCCCAUAUGUCAAGACUUUAUGGAGAAUCCUCAAUGACAUUUAAUGUUCACCAACUUCUACACUUGUCGAAGUCAACACGCAUGUUUGGUCCACUUUGGGCAACAUCGACAUUUCCCUUUGUAGAUGGCAAUGGCUUUGUAUUGCGUCUUAUUUCUGUGGCAAAGUUUGUGCCGAUGCAGGUAGCUGAGAGGUGCAUUAUGCGAGAGAUGUAUCAUAAUUUGGAAAGAACAGUGACUGUCUGCUCGCAUAGCAUCUGCGAAAGCAAAGAUGGAAGUUCAGUACAAAACAUGCUUUCAGACCUGUGUUCUUGGUGUGCCACAGCCAUUUUCAGGGAUGUCAGAAAUGCUGCGGGCACUAUUUCAAAAUUUGGGAGAGUGCCUGAAGUUUCACAGUACUUCCGAGCACAGGUUGGCACAGUAGUAAUACAUGCUGCAGACUGUUUAGUUCCGCGAAAAACUUCGUCGUGUUAUGUCAGCAUGAAGGAUGGCAAAUACAGUGUGUGUCUUGGGAAUUUAUGCGGACGCAAGCUCCAUGUAUUUUUAUUGUCAGCACAUGCUCAUUGGAGCUUGUGCUUUUGAUGUGCCUCACAUUAUGCAGUGCCAGCACCCGCCACCCUCAGAAAAUCUCUACCUGUAGACCAGUGAUGACUUGCAGGCACAGUGUGUAUUCUUCCCUGUAGGCAGCUCAUCCCACAUCUGUGAUGUUGGGAACUCGGUAGAAAAGUUUUGAUUCCACCCAUAGAUGUACUGCCACAUACAAGGCCUAGAGUGACUGACUGCUGAUCUUCUAGAGGACUCCUUUGUGGUGAAAUGGAGAGUUUGCAAAAUGUGUAUAGUUGAAAGUAUUCGUGUAAGCAGUGGUUAAUCAUGUGAACUCUUGA